UACGGAAGGCAGCAGUGGGGAAUAUUGCACAAUGGGCGCAAGCCUGAUGCAGCCAUGCCGCGUGUAUGAAGAAGGCCUUCGGGUUGUAAAGUACUUUCAGUCGUGAGGAAGGUGUUAAGGUUAAUAACCUUAGCAAUUGACGUUAGCGACAGAAGAAGCACCGGCUAACUCCGUGCCAGCAGCCGCGGUAAUACGGAGGGUGCGAGCGUUAAUCGGAAUUACUGGGCGUAAAGGGCACGCAGGCGGUUAAUUAAGUUGGAUGUGAAAUCCCCGGGCUUAACCUGGGAAUGGCAUUCAAGACUGGUUAGCUAGAGUCUUGUAGAGGGGGUAGAAUUCCGAUGUGUAGCGGUGAAAUGCGUAGAGAUGUGGAGGAAUACCGGGUGGCGAAGGCGGCCCCUGGGACAAAGACUGACGCUCAUGUGCGAAAGCGUGGGGAGCAAACGAGGAUUAGAUACC
rnacentral:rRNA from 1 species